UACGUAGGGGGCAAGCGUUGUCCGGAUUUAUUGGGCGUAAAGAGCGUGUAGGCGGCCUUACAGGUCAGCUGUGAAAACUCGAGGCUCAACCUCGAGACGUCGGUUGAAACCGUAUGGCUAGAGUCCGGAAGAGGAGAGUGGAAUUCCCGGUGUAGCGGUGAAAUGCGCAGAUAUCGGGAAGAACACCCGUGGCGAAGGCGGCUCACUGGACCGGAACUGACGCUGAGGCGCGAAAGCGUGGGGAGCAAACAGG
rnacentral:rRNA from 1 species